rnacentral:rRNA from 1 species
AGCGAACGCUGGCGGCAGGCUUAACACAUGCAAGUCGAACGGGCGUAGCAAUACGUCAGUGGCAGACGGGUGAGUAACGCGUGGGAACGUACCUUUUGGUUCGGAACAACCCAGGGAAACUUGGGCUAAUACCGGGAUAAGCCCUUACGGGGAAAGAUUUAUCGCCGAAAGAUCGGCCCGCGUCUGAUUAGCUAGUUGGUGAGGUAACGGCUCACCAAGGCGACGAUCAGUAGCUGGUCUGAGAGGANGAUCAGCCACAUUGGGACUGAGACACGGCCCAAACUCCUACGGGAGGCAGCAGUGGGGAAUAUUGGACAAUGGGCGCAAGCCUGAUCCAGCCAUGCCGCGUGAGUGA